UACGUAGGGAGCGAGCGUUGUCCGGAUUCAUUGGGCGUAAAGCGCUUUAAGGCGGUUCGCUAAGUCGCGUGUGAAACCUCCAGGCUCAACCUGGAGACGCCACGCGAUACUGGCGUGACUAGAGUUCGGUAGGGGAUCACGGAAUUCCCGGUGUAGCGGUGAAAUGCGCAGAUAUCAGGAGGAACACCGGUGGCGAAGGCGGGGUCUCUGGGGCCACUACUGACGCUGAGAAGCGAAAGCAUGGGGGAGCGAAACAGG
rnacentral:rRNA from 1 species